rnacentral:lncRNA from 1 species
GUUGAAAAGUCUGUGUUUAAGACGUAUAUACACUGAAACCUUUUAUAUUUUAUGUUGCUUAAAAUGUUUUAUUUUUAUUACCUAAUACUGGUAAAAAUUUACCGGAUUUAUUUCAUCGUAGGAUCCAUAACGGACGCGAAAUAAUACAAAACUAGUAUUUUUUUAACAUGUAGUAUUGUGUAUUCUGUAUUGACUAUAAUAGGUUAUAUAUAUACUCCUAUUGAUCAUUUUGAUAGAAAAAAGGCUUUCACAUAUCCUUGUCUCACGGGUUUUCAUUCUAUGCAUAAUGACGUCAUUUCCAUUGAAAAAGCAUGCAUAGUACGACAAACUCAUGACGUACGAAAACAUAUGAUCUGAUCAUACAUUUUUUUAAAUUAUUGAAUUAGGUCAAAAAUUCUACAUUUAUAUGUGUUUUUUAUUAUCAUGAUCAUCAAAUUCUGUGAAAAAGAAAAUUUC